UGUAAGAUGUGACUUGCUCCUCCUUGCCUUCCACCAUGAUUGUGAGGCCUCCCCAGCCACAUGGAACGACCAGCCAACACUUACGGAAAAUAGAACCUACGUUGAAAUAUUGGGGGCUGGUUUCCUCUAUACAAGAGGAGUCAUGAAUAUUUAUGAAAGGAGAAAUCGCACAUGCACAAAAGAAAGUCACUAUGUGCAGUUAUGGCCCAGUUCCUUGAGGUUGGAGUAUCUGAUUUUUCUGCACAGAGGUUCAUAGGCAGAAGGGACUUACCUUGCCUCAGUAUGAAUGAUGGAUAACAGAACCAGAGACUGGGAACAUGGAGGCCAAGGGGGAACUCCUCGGGAGCUGCAACUGACACACAAAGGAAAUUUUAAGCAAGGCAGUGGAAAUGAGCAAGGCAAUUUACUUCUAUAGAAGGGUGCGCCCUCACAGAUGGAGCAAUGAAUGUGAAUUCGAAUUGUUGCAGAAUGUCAAAGGAGAACUCUUCCUGCUGUCUCAGAAUUUCAGCUGGAGCUACAGAGAUCAAAGAGAGGUUGUUAAAUACCCACUAAUUUGAAAGCGAGUUGACAGGCCAGCUGUGCAGAACAUGCUAAGGGGUAACCCCAAAAGACAGAUAAGCCUUUGUCUAUGACGUGCCUCAAGCCAAUACAAGGAGAAAAAAGAAGAGCAAUAAAGGAAAGACCAUGAGGAUGGGUUUCUGUGAGAAGAGCUGUAGAUUUUUCCUUUCUUCUCCAUACCUUGAGCCAAGUUGGGAGGUUGUAAAAAUCCUCUGACAGAGCUUGGGUGUGCUUCCUGCCAGGAGGAAGACUAACCUGGAACAAGCGGGUGGGGAGAGACCUUCAGAGAAUUUGGACUCCCUACAGUCGGGGGCACAGGGUUUUGUGUUGACUUGCACUUGUAGAAGUCCGAUGCCAGCCGGGCGCGGUGGCUCACGCCUGUAAUCCUAGCACUUUGGGAGGCUGAGGCGGGUGGAUCACGAGGUCAGGAGAUCGAGACCAUUCUGGCUAACACUGUGAAACCCCGUCUCUACUAAAAAAAAAAUGCAAAUUAGCCAGGUGUGGUGGCGGCGCCUGUAGUCCCAGUUACUCGGGAGGCUGAGGCAGGAGAAUGGCGUGAACCCGGGAAGCGGAGCUUGUAGUGAGCCGAGAUUGCACCACUGCACUCCAGCCUGGGCGACAGAGCGAGACUCUGUCAAAAAAAAAAAAAGAAAAAAGAAAAAAAAGAAAGAAAGAAGGAAAGAAAAAAUUCCGAUGCGGAUGACCUGCCUGCAGAAGGAGCUACCCACUGAAGGUCUCUUCUCUGCUGAGAGCUGGACACUCAUUGGGAUGAACUGCCUGUGGAAAGGAGCUACCCACUUUGGGUCUCUAGAGAGCUGUUCUGUUGCUCAGUGAAGCUCCUGUGCAUCUUGCUCACCCUCCAAUUGUCUGCAUACUUCAUUCUUCCUGGACAUGGGACAAGAACUCAGGACCAAAUGGUGGGACUGAAAGAGCUAUGACACAAACAGGGCUCAAGAUUUAACAGCCAACAACAAAACAAAAUAAAGCAAAAUAAAUGUCAGAAUGUGUGAGCUAUCAGAUCAUUGGCCUGUGGAUAUUCAAGUCUGAACUGAAUUUGAAUUGUCUCUUUUCGGGGAAAUGAUGCACAUUGUAUCAUGUCAGGCAAUAAUUUUUUGUAUAUGUUAUGGAUAGUUUGUAUGUAUGUGUGUGGUGGGGAUGGUAUGAAUGCAUGUGCUGGCUGGGAAGUAAAGCGAUGAACUGC
rnacentral:lncRNA from 1 species